rnacentral:rRNA from 2 species
AAAACCGAUCGUAGUCCGGAUCGCAGUCUGCAACUCGACUGCGUGAAGUCGGAAUCGCUAGUAAUCGCGAAUCAGAAUGUCGCGGUGAAUACGUUCCCGGGCCUUGUACACACCGCCCGUCACACCAUGGGAGUGGGUUGCACCAGAAGUAGCUAGUCUAACCUUCGGGAGGACGGUUACCACGGUGUGAUUCAUGACUGGGGUGAAGUCGUAACAAGGUAGCCGUAGGGGAACCUGCGGCUGGAUCACCUCCUUA